CCUACGGGGGGCAGCAGUAGGGAAUCUUUCACAAUGGGCGAAAGCCUGAUGGAGCAACGCCGCGUGCAGGAUGAAGGCCUUCGGGUUGUAAACUGCUUUUAUAAGCGAGAAAUAUGAUGGUAACUUAUGAAUAAGGAUCGGCUAACUACGUGCCAGCAGCCGCGGUCAUACGUAGGAUCCGAGCAUUAUCCGGAGUGACUGGGUGUAAAGAGUUGCGUAGGGGGCAUAAUAAGUAGCUAGUGAAAUCGGGUGGCUCAACCAUUCAGACGAUUAGCUAAACUGUUAAGCUCGAGACCGUUAGGGGUAACUGGAAUUUCUAGUGUAGGAGUGAAAUCCGUAGAUAUUAGAAGGAACACCAAUAGCGUAGGCAGGUUACUGGGACGGUUCUGACACUAAGGCACGAAAGCGUAGGGAGCAAACGGGAUUAGAUACCCCAGUAGUC
rnacentral:rRNA from 1 species